AGCCCCCACAGCUGAGCAGCAAGAGGCGGUGCCGCCAGCCCACCCGGAGUGAGCCCCGCAUGCUGGCACGACUGGGGGACACUCACAGCUCUGCCAGCGCCGAGAGGUUCGCCAGGAGCCCAACGUCCAGCGCCCGGAGCAGGUUGUGGGAGACGUCUCUGAGGAGGUGGUCCCACUGUGGGACCACAACCAGGUAUGACUGUGUGAGAAGCAGGCUCACUACCAGGCUACCAGGGAGCACAGGGGAGCAGGCGCCACCUCGAGGCAUAAACCCAGAGAAACAAGACCUCCAAGACGGCCAGGCACUGGGGCACACGCCGGUAACACAGCACCGUGGGAGCUGAGACGGAAGGAUCGCCUGGGCCCAGGAUUUUGAAACCACCCUGGGCAACACAGUGAGACCCCGUAUCUACAAAAAAUACACAUUAGCCAGGCAUGGCGGCAUGCGCCUGGGGUCCCAAGUACUCGGGAGGUAGAGGAGAGAAAAAUCACUUGAGCCCAGAGAGGUCAAGGCUACAGGGAGCUGAGAUCGCAUCACUGUACUCCAGCCUGGGUGAAACGGCGAGACUCUACCUCAAAAAUAAAUAAAUACAUACAUAAUUAAUAAAUAAAACAUCAAAGACCAGCCGACCUAACUCCAUCUAAAAUACACAACUUCUACGCAAAAUAUAAAUAAAAUUAGAAAACAAACUACAAUCUCAGAAAAGCACUAGCAACUUACACGACAUACUAAAGGCCAAAAAUACCCUCCUGACACACAGCUAAUAAAGAAAACGUCAACUAUUCCAGUUAAAAAGAAGAAAAGGAAACUGGGUGUGGUGGCUUAUGCCUGUAAACCCAGUGCUUUGGGAAGGCCAGGAGUUUGAGACCAGGAUGGACAGCAUAGCAAGACCCCAUCUCUACAAGGAAAAAAAGAAUCAGCCAGGCAUGGUAGUGUGUAACUGUAGUUCCAGCUACUCGGGGGGCUGAGGAGGAAGGAUCGCUUGAGCCAGGGAAGUCGAGGCUGCAGUGAGCUAUGAUUGUGCCACUGCAGUCCAGCCUGGGCGACAGAGCAAGACCCGGUCUCGAAAGAAAACAAAGAGAAAGCAAGGAAAGAAAGAUGGCCGGGCACGGUGGCUCACUCCUGUAAUGCCAGAACUUUGGGAGGCCAAGGUGGGUGGAUCAUGAGAUCAAGAGAUCGAGACCAUCCUGGCCAACAGGGUGAAACCCUGUCUCUACUAAAAAUGCAAAAAUUAGCCGGGCAUGGCGGCGGGAGCCUGUAGUGCCAGCCACUCAGGAGGCUGAGGCAGGAGAAUCACGUGAACCCGGGAGGCGAAGGUUGCAGUGAGCCAAGAUCACGCCACUGCAAUCCAGCCUGGUGACAGAGCGAGACUCCAUCUCAAAAGAAAAAAAAAAGAAAAGAAAAGAAAGAAAGGGAGGAGAGAGAGAAGAAAAGGAGAAGGGGAAAGAGCCGGGUGCAAUGGCUCCUGCCUGUAAUCCCAGCACUUUGGGAGGCUGAGGCGGGCGCAUCACCUGAGGUCAGGAGUUCAAGACCAGACCGACCAACACGGAGACACCCUGUCUCUACCAAAACUACAGAAUUAGUCGGGCGUGGUGGCAAGCACCUGUAAUUCCAGCUACUCAGGAGGCUUAGGCAGGAGAAUCACUUGAACCCGCGAGGCAGAGGUUGCAGUGAGCUGAGAUCGCACCCCUGCACUCCAGCACCCCAUCCUGCAAGAGUGAAGCUCCAUCUCAAAAAAUAAAAAUAAAAAAAAAAAGGAUGGAGGGUGAGAGGGAGGGAGGAAAGAAAGAGAAAACUCCAAAAACAAAAAAAGAAAAACCAGGCAAUUAGAAGAAGCACAAUUGGUCACAGCCGUAGGAAAAACAUCCCAUGUCAGUAGUCAGUGAAGAAAAAGCAACAGAAACCACAGGGCGGCAGCAUGUCUCUCUUUUCAGAGCUGCCCGAGUUACAAACCAGGUCCUGGAGCUGGUGAUGCGGAGGUGAGUAGACAGAGAGCUGGGGCAAACCGAGAACUCCACCUCCCCUCGGCCUCAAGCACCUCGGGGGUCACUCUGCCGCCCACCCUGGGCACCCCUCCUGGUCCCACGCACUCCCAGUAGUGCUCCUGGCACAGGACUAUGGCUCCGCAGGUCUGCACACCACCCCCCUGCUCCCCAGGACCCCGAGGCCUCACCUCCUGCCACGGGCCUCUACUUCCCCAGGUGUCACCCUCCCCACGAGUGACCCAGCAGGUGCCUCCGCCUAGACUUGCUCUUCCCAGCAAUGACCACCCGGCAGCCAGCCCCAAGCCGGGGCGGCCUCCAUCCCUGAACACCCGCCCAGCCCCUGCCAGCCUCCAGCCCUGCUCCUCCCACCGGAGCUCCGCUCCCACAGGAGCCUACCCGGCGCAGGAGAGACGCACACACAGGCUGCCCGGUGGGGCCCGGGGCCAGGGCAAGAGCUUGAGAAGGGAACCAACAAAGAAGGGGACCAGAGGCCACCCCAGCUGAGGGGACAGAGCAGCCGAGGCCUUCUCCGUGCCAGGAAGCAGCACCAGCCACGGACGGUGGAGCCAGGCCCUCACCUGGGCUGGGUGCCCAGACAGAUGAGACGCUGGGCACUGGCUCCCGGAGCUUCUCGUUCCAUCUGCGGAUGGAGGGCACGGUUGGGGGUGCAGUUCCCUUCCCCCAGGGGCUGUGGGACACUCAGAGAGCCUAUGCCUGUGCCCUGGGCUCCGGGAGGGGAGAGGAUCUGGGGGCCAGGCACACAGGGAACGGCCCCUCCGGCAGGGCCACCACUUCCCCCCUAACUGAACCCUGCUUCUCUGCCGUCCCCUCCUCUACACCAAGGUAGGGACACGGGCUGAGGUGCUCCCCACUGCCCAUAAGGAUGGGUGGGCCCACAGCCGCG
rnacentral:lncRNA from 1 species